rnacentral:rRNA from 1 species
AAUGAACGCUGGCGGCAGGCCUAACACAUGCAAGUCGAGCGGUAGCACAGAGAGCUUGCUCUCGGGUGACGAGCGGCGGACGGGUGAGUAAUGUCUGGGAAACUGCCUGAUGGAGGGGGAUAACUACUGGAAACGGUAGCUAAUACCGCAUAACGUCGCAAGACCAAAGUGGGGGACCUUCGGGCCUCAUGCCAUCAGAUGUGCCCAGAUGGGAUUAGCUAGUAGGUGGGGUAAUGGCUCACCUAGGCGACGAUCCCUAGCUGGUCUGAGAGGAUGACCAGCCACACUGGAACUGAGACACGGUCCAGACUCCUACGGGAGGCAGCAGUGGGGAAUAUUGCACAAUGGGCGCAAGCCUGAUGCAGCCAUGCCGCGUGUAUGAAGAAGGCCUUCGGGUUGUAAAGUACUUUCAGCGAGGAGGAAGGCGUUAAGGUUAAUAACCUUGGCGAUUGACGUUACUCGCAGAAGAAGCACCGGCUAACUCCGUGCCAGCAGCCGCGGUAAUACGGAGGGUGCAAGCGUUAAUCGGAAUUACUGGGCGUAAAGCGCACGCAGGCGGUCUGUCAAGUCGGAUGUGAAAUCCCCGGGCUCAACCUGGGAACUGCAUUCGAAACUGGCAGGCUAGAGUCUUGUAGAGGGGGGUAGAAUUCCACGUGUAGCAGUGAAAUGCGUAGAUAUGUGGAGGAUACCGAUGGCGAAGGCAGCCCCCUG